GAUGAACGCUGGCGGCGUGCCUAAUACAUGCAAGUCGAGCGAACGGACGAGAAGCUUGCUUCUCUGAUGUUAGCGGCGGACGGGUGAGUAACACGUGGAUAACCUACCUAUAAGACUGGGAUCACUUCGGGAAACCGGAGAUUAUACCGGAUAAUAUUUUGAACCGCAUGGUUCAAAAGUGAAAGUCGGUCUUGCUGUAACUUAUAGAUGGAUCCGCGCUGCAUUAGCUAGUUGGUAAGGUAACGGCUUACCAAGGCGACGAUGCAUGGCCGACCGGAGAGGAUGAUCGGCCACCUUGGAGCGGAGACACGGUCCAGACUACUACGGGAGGCAGCAGUAGGGAAUCGUCCGCAAUGGGCGAAAGCCUGACGGAGCAACGCCGCGUGAGUGAUGAAGGUCUUGGGAUCGUAAUGCUCUGUUAUUGGGGAAGAACAUAUGUGUAAGUAACUGUAGACUUCUUGACGGUACCGAGUCAGAAAGCCACGGCUAACUACGUG
rnacentral:rRNA from 1 species